UACGUAGGGUGCGAGCGUUGUCCGGAAUUAUUGGGCGUAAAGAGCUUGUAGGCGGUUUGUCGCGUCUGCUGUGAAAAUCCGGGGCUCAACCCCGGACUUGCAGUGGGUACGGGCAGACUAGAGUGAUGUAGGGGAGACUGGAAUUCCUGGUGUAGCGGUGAAAUGCGCAGAUAUCAGGAGGAACACCGAUGGCGAAGGCAGGUCUCUGGGCAUUAACUGACGCUGAGGAGCGAAAGCAUGGGGAGCGAACAGG
rnacentral:rRNA from 1 species